rnacentral:rRNA from 1 species
AUGCUUGCUGCUGAAAUUCAAAAAGAUCUUGCAAAUUGUUGCGCAGAAGAGGUCACCAAAGCAAUCAGAGAAAUUGGUGAUAAGAAAUUCUCUGUGCUUAUCGAUGAGUCACGUGAUAUAUCUGUCAAAGAGCAAAUGGCGGUGAUGUUGAGGUAUGUCAAUGAUAAAGGGAAGGCCGUGGAACGAUUUCUCUCUCUGUACCAUGUCAGUGAUACUACAUCAGAGGAACUAAAGGUAGCUCUUGUUGACAUUCUUGAUCAUCAUAAGUUAUCCAUUCAUAGUCUACGAGGGCAAGGAUAUGAUGGAGCUUCAAAUAUGAGAGGUGAAUUUAAUGGUUUGCAAAAGAAAAUUCUUGACGAGAACCCUUAUGCCUUUUAUGUGCAUUGCUUUGCACAUCGUUUACAAUUGGUGGUUGUCUCGGUCGCUAGUUGUUGCUCCUCUUUCAUGAUUUGUUUGAUCAUAUAUGUGCUUCGUGAGGUCAAUGAUGAAGGGCGCGGACCGUCUCAAGCGGCGGGUUUGAUAGAGAUAAUGGAGAGUUUCAAAUUUGCUUUCGUAUUGCAUCUUAUGAUAAAGUUGCUUGCUAUCACAAAUGAACUCUCACAAGUCUUGCAGAGAAAAGAUAUAAACAUUGUUAAUGCCAUUGAACUAGUUGGUGAUGUCAAAGCUCGGUUGGCCUCUAUGAGAGAAAGUGGUUGGGAAAGCUUGUUCGAUGAAGUCCAACACUUUUGUGUCACCAAAGGUAUUCCGGUGCCCGAUAUGAAUGAAAGAAUACCGGUCCGAGGUCGUUCAAGGCUUGAUGGUGUGACUUACACCAAUCUUCAUUUGUAUCUAGUUGAGAUCUUCUAUGUUGCCAUUGACAAGAUAUGCACUGAGAUGAAUCAUCGCUUUAAUGAAGCAUCUUCAAAUAUAAUAGUGGCCUUCUCAUGCCUUCAUCCAAAAAAUUCCUUCUCCAAGUUUGAUGUUGACAAGCUUGCUAGCUUAACUGAAGUUUAUCAUGGAGAUUUCUCUAGUGGUGAUCGUGCAAUCAUAAGAGACGAACUUCAGACUUACAUUCUUCAUGUACGAAGGCAUGAGGCCUUUUCUUCUUGUAAAGAUAUUGAAAGUUUAGCUACAACGAUGGUUGAAACUGAGAAACAUUUGGUUUUCCCACUAGUGUACAGAAUCAUAGAGUUGGCUUUGUUAUUGCCAGUCUCAACGGCAUCGGUCGAAAGAGCUUUCUCGGCAAUGAAGAUUAUCAAAUCUAAAUUGCGCAGCAAGAUGAAUGAUACAUGGUUUAAUGACUUGAUGAUUUGCUACACCGAGCGGGAGAUUUUUAAAGGACUUGAUGAUGAUGCUAUUAUUAAACGGUUUCAAGCCAUGAAGUAUCGGAAAGGGCAAUUGCCCAGGUCCAAUUAG